AUGCAAAAGACUUUGAGCCAUCAGCAGCAGCAAGAACAUUUGGCUAGCUGAACAAGUUGCACAAGACUGAUAUAUUUGCUGCCCAAGAACCUCUGAAGUGGCAGGCGGCCACGAGUUUUCACGACAUAAACUCAGGUAAAGAGCCCGUCUUUAAGAAGCCGUGCCAGUGUUGUCAUUUCGGAGCCACAGUGAAAACUCACCCAGCCCAGCGCCGAUGAGAAGGACGUCAAGACGCCAGCAGAUUUACAGUCAACAGAGCUGAGAAAUGGCUUGGAGGAGACGUUGAAGAUGACGAAGAAUCGUGGCCAGAUGUCGGAUCAUCCUAAGGAUCUUUAAGUUCUAAAUCAAGGUCAAAAUCACAAAGGUCCAAAAGUAGUUCAGGACAAUCCCGCUCACAAAUAAUAAAAAGAAUGGAAGCUGAAGCUGAAGCAGCUGCAUCUUAAGAAAUACUGGGAGUAAUGGACGAGCAGGAAAAGGAAACAGCUGAACUACAAAAAUUGGAACUCGAGAACUUUGCAAGGCAACAAGCAAUGGAAGAGCGGCGUAGAAAGAUCGACCGCUUGGAAGAAGUUAAGAAAAUGAAUGCUGCCAAAGCUCGCGUAAAGGUUUACUAUGAAGUUGAAAGUACUGCUGAAAGUCGAAGUUUGUCACACAGUAUUAAGUAUUAUAGUAUUAUACUUUGUAUUGUUAUAUUCUUAUUUUACUGUUAUAUUGUUAUUCCCAUCGUUUUUAUUCUUUUUGUAAUAUUUCUCUAUUUUGUUUCCUUUUAAACCCCCAUUAUUUACUUUUUUUUUUUUUUUUUAAUUGAUCUCAACUCUGUACACUGCUGCUGGAAUUUUAAUUUUCCUGAAGGAA